UACGGAGGGUGCAAGCGUUAUCCGGAUUCACUGGGUUUAAAGGGUGCGUAGGUGGGUUGGUAAGUCAGUGGUGAAAUCCCCGAGCUUAACUUGGGAACUGCCAUUGAUACUAUCAGUCUUGAAUACUGUGGAGGUCAGCGGAAUAUGUCAUGUAGCGGUGAAAUGCGUAGAUAUCUGGAGGAAUACCGGUGGCGAAGGCGGCAUCCUGGACCGGCAUUGACGCUGAGGAGCGAAAGCCAGGGGAGCAAACGGG
rnacentral:rRNA from 1 species